rnacentral:rRNA from 1 species
UACGGAGGAUGCAAGCGUUAUCCGGAUUCAUUGGGUUUAAAGGGUGCGCAGGCGGGAAAGUAAGUCAGUGGUGAAAAACUGCCGCUCAACGGUAGUCGUGCCAUUGAUACUGCUUUUCUUGAGUUUGGAUCAGGUAGGCGGAAUGUGCAGUGUAGCGGUGAAAUGCAUAGAUAUUGCACAGAACACCAAUUGCGAAGGCAGCUUACUAAUCCACGACUGACGCUGAGGCACGAAAGCGUGGGGAGCGAACAGGA